AAUUAUUAUUAUUACUCAUAAGGCCUGAUGUUUUGCGAUUGGCUUUAGAUGAAGAAGCUUUUUGAUGAUCAAAAGAUUCAAGGUUAAGCGGCUUGUGGGUUCUUGGAUCAAUUCCUUGGCUUAUCAGCUUCUUGCUGAGAAGGCGAUGCAGUCGAAGAAUGAGAUCUUCUUCAUCAGGAGCGAUCUGGCCGCGUUUUACACAGGGACGCAGGUAGUUCAUCCAUCGGAGACGGCAACUCUUACCACAGCGGAGAAGUCCAGCUCUUUUAGGCAAGGUACGCCAGCGACCUUCCCCUUCUUUUUUGAUGUAGUUGACAAGAAGCUCAUCCUCUUCAGGUGUCCAUGGCCCUCUCUUUAACCCUACCUUGCUGCAACACGGCGUCUUCGCUGGUUGUGGUCCUUCUCCUGCAGACGCAGAGGGUGAUGGGUUUCUCAUCUUAUUCUUCUUCUUCUUUCUCUGGACUAUGAAUUCAAACAAAUCUAUAUAUGUUUCGCUGGUGAAUGAGAUUGAGAUUUGAUCUUUUUAUGGCUUUUGGAGAAAAGAUGUUCGAUGAAGAGAUGGUUCAAUUUUUUAAGGGCUUCUCGCACCUUUUGUUUUUUUUGUAAUAAAAGAUUAUUGUUCAGAUAUAUGCCCACGAGCAGUAACAGGGAAUGAAGAACACGCGCCUAAAAAGUUUGGUGGCCAUUUUUGAUGGGCUAGUGACUUUAUCCAAAUGACCAGCUUGUCACUUGAAUGGCUCUGUGCUUAAUCUGAAUCGUCACCAUGAGCGUCAUCUUCAUUGUCGUCUGCCAGCGGGGAGACACGGUGUUCCGUGUUAAUUAAAGACCAAAGCAAACAUUUCCUUUUUAUGACAAUUUAAUAAAAUAUAUAUUAAAUUAUAAA